rnacentral:rRNA from 1 species
GAUGAACGCUGGCGGCGUGCCUAAUACAUGCAAGUCGAGCGAACAGACGAGGAGCUUGCUCCUCUGACGUUAGCGGCGGACGGGUGAGUAACACGUGGAUAACCUACCUAUAAGACUGGGAUAACUUCGGGAAACCGGAGCUAAUACCGGAUAACAUGUUGAACCGCAUGGUUUAACAGUGAAAGACGGUCUUGCUGUCACUUAUAGAUGGAUCCGCGCCGCAUUAGCUAGUUGGUAAGGUAACGGCUUACCAAGGCAACGAUGCGUAGCCGACCUGAGAGGGUGAUCGGCCACACUGAAACUGAGACACAGUCCAGACUCCUACGGGAGGCAGCAGUAGGGAAUCUUCCGCAAAGGGCGAAAGCCUGACGGAGCAACGCCGCGUGAGUGAAGAAGGUCUUCGGAUCGUAAAACUCUGUUAUUAGGGAAGAACAAAUGUGUAAGUAACUAUGCACGUCUUGACGGUACCUAAUCAGAAAGCCACGGCUAACUACGUG